rnacentral:tRNA from 4 species
UCCCCGGUAGCUCAGUCGGUAGAGCGGUUGGCUGUUAACCAAUUUGUCGCUGGUUCGAGUCCGGCCCGGGGAG